GCAGCUAUCCCAGAAGCCAGAACAGCAAGAGGGAUUGCUGCUUUUGCUGCGCAGAGAUCCCUCUUGCUGUUCUGGCUUCUUCUUCUUUU
rnacentral:miRNA from 1 species